rnacentral:miRNA from 1 species
GCUCCUGCUUUCCCAUCUAUUAGGUUGGUGCAAAAGUAAGUGUGGAUUUUGCCAUUUGAAAGUAAUAGCAAAAACCGCAAUUACUUUUUUU